GCGCAUUGGUUGCUUGCGUGCUGCUCUGUGUUUUGUCCGCCUCCGAGUUCAUUGUUACCAUUUUACACCUGCGUGCUGCUGGUUGCUCCUGCUGGCUGUUGCUGGUG